rnacentral:rRNA from 1 species
UACGUAGGGUGCAAGCGUUGUCCGGAAUUAUUGGGCGUAAAGAGCUUGUAGGCGGUUUGUCGCGUCUGCUGUGAAAUUUCGGGGCUCAACCCCGAACUUGCAGUGGGUACGGGCAGACUAGAGUGUGGUAGGGGAGACUGGAAUUCCUGGUGUAGCGGUGAAAUGCGCAGAUAUCGGGAGGAACACCGGUGGCGAAGGCGGUUCUCUGGGACGUCCUGACGCUGAGGAGCGAAAGUG